GAGUUUGAUCAUGGCUCAGGAUGAACGCUGGCGGCGUGCCUAAUACAUGCAAGUCGAGCGAACGGACGAGAAGCUUGCUUCUCUGAUGUUAGCGGCGGACGGGUGAGUAACACGUGGAUAACCUACUAUAAGACUGGGAUAACUUCGGGAAACCGGAGCUAAUACCGGAUAAUAUUUUGAACCGCAUGGUUCAAAAGUGAAAGACGGUCUUGCUGUCACUUAUAGAUGGAUCCGCGCUGCAUUAGCUAGUUGGUAAGGUAACGGCUUACCAAGGCAACGAUGCAUAGCCGACCUGAGAGGGUGAUCGGCCACACUGGAACUGAGACACGGUCCAGACUCCUACGGGAGGCAGCAGUAGGGAAUCUUCCGCAAUGGGCGAAAGCCUGACGGAGCAACGCCGCGUGAGUGAUGAAGGUCUUCGGAUCGUAAAACUCUGUUAUUAGGGAAGAACAUAUGUGUAAGUAACUGUGCACAUCUUGACGGUACCUAAUCAGAAAGCCA
rnacentral:rRNA from 1 species